rnacentral:rRNA from 1 species
AGAAUCAACGCUGGCGGCGUGCCUCAGACAUGCAAGUCGAACGAUUAAGGCUCCCUUCGGGGAGUGUAUAGAGUGGCGCACGGGUGAGUAACACGUAAGUAAUCUACCCUCGAGUGGGGAAUAACGUCCGGAAACGGACGCUAAUACCGCAUAAUUGCAGCGGCACCGCAAGGUGACAGUUGUUAAAGAUUUAUCGCUUGAGGAGGAGCUUGCGGCAGAUUAGCUAGUUGGUAAGGUAAUGGCUUACCAAGGCUACGAUCUGUAACCGGUCUAAGAGGACGGUCGGUCACACUGACACUGAAUACGGGUCAGACUCCGUACGGAGGCAGCAGUCGGGAAUUUGGGCAAGUGGGUACGAAAGCCGUACGACCCGACGCGAACGCCGGCGUA